rnacentral:rRNA from 1 species
GGCGAACGGGUGAGUAACACGUGGGUGAUCUGCCCUGCACUCUGGGAUAAGCCUGGGAAACUGGGUCUAAUACCGGAUAGGACCAUGCUUUAGUGUGUGUGGUGGAAAGUUUUUCGGUGUAGGAUGAGCCCGCGGCCUAUCAGCUUGUUGGUGGGGUAAUGGCCUACCAAGGCGGCGACGGGUAGCCGGACUGAGAGGUUGGUCGGCCACAUUGGGACUGAGACACGGCCCAG